GACGACGCUGGCGGCGUGCCUAAUACAUGCAAGUCGAACGAACUCUGGUAUUGAUUGGUGCUUGCAUCAUGAUUUACAUUUGAGUGAGUGGCGAACUGGUGAGUAACACGUGGGAAACCUGCCCAGAAGCGGGGGAUAACACCUGGAAACAGAUGCUAAUACCGCAUAACAACUUGGACCGCAUGGUCCGAGUUUGAAAGAUGGCUUCGGCUAUCACUUUUGGAUGGUCCCGCGGCGUAUUAGCUAGAUGGUGGGGUAACGGCUCACCAUGGCAAUGAUACGUAGCCGACCUGAGAGGGUAAUCGGCCACAUUGGGACUGAGACACGGCCCAAACUCCUACGGGAGGCAGCAGUAGGGAAUCUUCCACAAUGGACGAAAGUCUGAUGGAGCAACGCCGCGUGAGUGAAGAAGGGUUUCGGCUCGUAAAACUCUGUUGUUAAAGAAGAACAUAUCUGAGAGUAACUGUUCAGGUAUUGACGGUAUUUAACCAGAAAGCCACGGCUAACUACGUGCCAGCAGCCGCGGUAAUACGUAGGUGGCAAGCGUUGUCCGGAUUUAUUGGGCGUAAAGCGAGCGCAGGCGGUUUUUUAAGUCUGAUGUGAAAGCCUUCGGCUCAACCGAAGAAGUGCAUCGGAAACUGGGAAACUUGAGUGCAGAAGAGGACAGUGGAACUCCAUGUGUAGCGGUGAAAUGCGUAGAUAUAUGGAAGAACACCAGUGGCGAAGGCGGCUGUCUGGUCUGUAACUGACGCUGAGGCUCGAAAGUAUGGGUAGCAAACAGGAUUAGAUACCCUGGUAGUCCAUACCGUAAACGAUGAAUGCUAAGUGUUGGAGGGUUUCCGCCCUUCAGUGCUGCAGCUAACGCAUUAAGCAUUCCGCCUGGGGAGUACGGCCGCAAGGCUGAAACUCAAAGGAAUUGACGGGGGCCCGCACAAGCGGUGGAGCAUGUGGUUUAAAUUCGAAGCUACGCGAAGAACCUUACCAGGUCUUGACAUACUAUGCAAAUCUAAGAGAUUAGACGUUUCCCUUCGGGGACAUGGAUACAGGUGGUGCAUGGUUGUCGUCAGCUCGUGUCGUGAGAUGUUGGGUUAAGUCCCGCAACGAGCGCAACCCUUAUUAUCAGUUGCCAGCAUUAAGUUGGGCACUCUGGUGAGACUGCCGGUGACAAACCGGAGGAAGGUGGGGAUGACGUCAAAUCAUCAUGCCCCUUAUGACCUGGGCUACACACGUGCUACAAUGGAUGGUACAACGAGUUGCGAACUCGCGAGAGUAAGCUAAUCUCUUAAAGCCAUUCUCAGUUCGGAUUGUAGGCUGCAACUCGCCUACAUGAAGUCGGAAUCGCUAGUAAUCGCGGAUCAGCAUGCCGCGGUGAAUACGUUCCCGGGCCUUGUACACACCGCCCGUCACACCAUGAGAGUUUGUAACACCCAAAGUCGGUGGGGUAACCUUUUAGGAACCAGCCGCCUAAGGUGGGACAGAUGAUUAGGGGAAGUCGAACAU
rnacentral:rRNA from 2 species